CAGGAGGUCCUGGGGACAGGAGGGAUCAACGGAGGGGCCGCUGCCUCUUCUGGGGGUUUACUGAAGACACUGCUCGAGCUUUCCCGGGCCACACACACCCCCCCCCCGUUUGCCUUGGUCCCGCUCGGGGCUCCUUUAGAACGCGGCAAACAGAGGACUUAGCAACGCGAGCGCCUGGGCGGCGCCCCUCCUCAGAGAUGCGAGAGGCGCUGGCCUGAGCGCCUCCGGCCACCUCCUUCUACCUCCGGGCCCUAGGCGCCCGAUCCACCUGCCUAUCUGACCACAGACAUCUUCCCACAAAACAGUGGAGCUUUUUGAAUCUUUGAAGAGAGUCUUCAGAUCUUUUAUCUAAGCAUCUUUGUGAAGCAAAGAAUAAACGGGUAUCUGAGGCCAGCUCGAAAGUUAGGAAAUAAAAUCAGGGUCUUCUACCAGAACAGAGAGAUGAUGCUUUCUGUAAUUUAUUUUGUAUUCAUUCAGUGCACCAAAUUAUCUUAUUACUUGUUUUUUCAUGAGUCCCUUGGAUUUUCCAAGAAAACAGGCAUAUCAGCAAUAUCAAGAACUUUGUUUCUGGCUGGGCACAAUGGCUUAUGCCAGUAAUCCCAACACUUCGGAAGGCCAGCGUGAAAGGAACACUUGACCCCAGGAAUUUGAGACCAGCCUGGGCAACAUAAGGAGAUCUGUCUCUAUAAAAAAUAAGAAAUUAGCUGUGCGUGGUGGCACCAGCCUACAGUCCCAGCUACUCAGGAGGCCAAUGUGGGAAGAUCCCUUAGUCCAGGAGUUCAAGGCUGCAGUGAGCCUUGAUCACGCCACUGGCUCCACUCCGAGCAACAGAGUGAGACUGUUUAUAAAAUAUAUAAAAAUGUAUAUUUGUUAUAAUUUAUACCAGUUAUUUUAUUUAUAUUUGUUAGAAUCACUAAUGUAAGUGAUUGUGGUGAUGCCUGAUUCCAGAUUUUAAGUGAAAGAUUUAAUUUUUGUGAUUUGGGAUGAUGUUCGCUAUUGGGCUUUCCUUUAUUAUAAAAGAAAUUUUUUCUGAUUCUAUUUUGCUUAAAGUCACUUGACUUUUAUCUGAUGCCUUUCCACAACUUAUUGAUAAUGGUUGGGCUUUUUCCCUUUAAUUUUUAAUGUAAUCAAUAUGUAGCUAGACUUCCUGAUAUUGAACCGCCUUUUCAUUCCUCUAAUAAAGCCUAUUUUUUCACA